GGGGSGKCUUACACAUGCAGUCGAACGAUGAUGCCCAGCUUGCUGGGUGGAUUAGUGGCGAACGGGUGAGUAACACGUGAGUAACCUGCCCUUGACUUCGGGAUAACUCCGGGAAACCGGGGCUAAUACCGGAUAUGAGCUACCUUCGCAUGGGGGUGGUUGGAAAGUUYUUCGGUCAAGGAUGGGCUCGCGGCCUAUCAGCUUGUUGGUGGGGUGAUGGCCUACCAAGGCGACGACGGGUAGCCGGCCUGAGAGGGCGACCGGCCACACUGGGACUGAGACACGGCCCAGACUCCUACGGGAGGCAGCAGUGGGGAAUAUUGCACAAUGGGCGAAAGCCUGAUGCAGCGACGCCGCGUGAGGGAUGAAGGCCUUCGGGUUGUAAACCUCUUUCAGCAGGGAAGAAGCGCAAGUGACGGUACCUGCAGAAGAAGCGCCGGCUAACUACGUGCCAGCAGCCGCGGUAAUACGUAGGGCGCAAGCGUUGUCCGGAAUUAUUGGGCGUAAAGAGCUCGUAGGCGGUUUGUCGCGUCUGGUGUGAAAWCUCGAGGCUCAACCUCGAGCUUGCAUCGGGUACGGGCAGACUAGAGUGCGGUAGGGGAGACUGGAAUUCCUGGUGUAGCGGUGGAAUGCGCAGAUAUCAGGAGGAACACCGAUGGCGAAGGCAGGUCUCUGGGCCGCAACUGACGCUGAGGAGCGAAAGCAUGGGGAGCGAACAGGAUUAGAUACCCUGGUAGUCCAUGCCGUAAACGUUGGGCACUAGGUGUGGGGCUCAUUCCACGAGUUCCGUGCCGCAGCAAACGCAUUAAGUGCCCCGCCUGGGGAGUACGGCCGCAAGGCUAAAACUCAAAGGAAUUGACGGGGGCCCGCACAAGCGGCGGAGCAUGCGGAUUAAUUCGAUGCAACGCGAAGAACCUUACCAAGGCUUGACAUGCACGGGAAGCCACCAGAGAUGGUGGUCUCUUUGGACACUCGUGCACAGGUGGUGCAUGGUUGUCGUCAGCUCGUGUCGUGAGAUGUUGGGUUAAGUCCCGCAACGAGCGCAACCUCGUCCCAUGUUGCCAGCGGGUUAUGCGGGACUCAUGGGAGACUGCCGGGUCAACUCGGAGGAUGUGUGAAUGAACGUCCAAUCAUCAUGCCCCCGUUAAUGGUCCGUG
rnacentral:rRNA from 1 species